UGAUCUUCCGUUAAGGGUGAACCUGCGGAAGGAUCAUUAUCGAGUUCAGAAGCGAGGUUGUAGCUGGCCUUCUCGGAGGCAUCGUGCACGCCCUGCCCGUCCCAUAUCAUACCUGUGAACUUUUUGGUAGGCGGGUUUGUGUCGGCCUCGAAAGGGGUCGACCGGCCCUCCGGCCGUCUUUAUAUACACACCAUACGAGUCUUUAGAAUGUUUGUGCGUCUCGACGCAUCUUAUAUAUAACUUUCAGCGACGGAUCUCUUGGCUCUCGCAUCGAUGAAGAACGCAGCGAAACGCGAUAAGUAAUGUGAAUUGCAGAAUUCAGUGAAUCAUCGAAUCUUUGAACGCACCUUGCGCUCCUCGGUAUUCCGAGGAGCAUGCCUGUUUGAGUGUCAUGAAAUUAUCAACCCCUCCUCCUUCAUCGGCGGUGGGGCUUGGACUUGGAGGCUUUGCGGGCUUUUAACGAGUCGGCUCCUCUCAAAUGCAUUAGCUCGAACCCCUGCGGAUCGGCCGUCGGUGUGAUAUAAUGUCUACGUCGUGGUCGUGAGCGUCGGAUCGGCUUCUAAUGGUCCCCUUUCGGAGGCGGAAUUUGAACUUGUGACCUCAAAUCAGGUAGGACUACCCGCUGAACUUAAGCAUAUCAAUAAGCGGGAGGAA
rnacentral:rRNA from 1 species